rnacentral:rRNA from 1 species
UACGUAGGCAGCAAGCGUUGUUCGGAGUUACUGGGCGUAAAGGGUGUGUAGGCGGUUGUUUAAGUUUGGUGUGAAAUCUCCCGGCUCAACUGGGAGGGUGCGCCGAAUACUGAAUGACUAGAGUGCGGGAGAGGAAAGUGGAAUUCCUGGUGUAGCGGUGAAAUGCGUAGAUAUCAGGAGGAACACCGGUGGUGUAGACGGCUUUCUGGACCGUAACUGACGCUGGAGACACGAAAGCGUGGGUAGCAAACAGG